GCUUUUCUCAAUAAUAAGCAAAAGGUUUAAGCACGCCAUCCCGUCCGAUAUGGCAAGUUAAGCAACAUUGGGCCUGGUUAGUACUUGGAUCGGAGACGGCUUGGGAAUCCCAGGUGUCGUAAGCU
rnacentral:rRNA from 1 species